AUACAGAGGGUGCAAGCGUUAAUCGGAAUUACUGGGCGUAAAGCGCGCGUAGGCGGUUUAAUCAGUCGGAUGUGAAAGCCCCGGGCUCAACCUGGGAACUGCAUUCGAUACUGUUAAGCUAGAGUAUGGUAGAGGGAAGUGGAAUUCCAGGUGUAGCGGUGAAAUGCGUAGAUAUCUGGAGGAACAUCAGUGGCGAAGGCGACUUCCUGGACCAAUACUGACGCUGAGGUGCGAAAGCGUGGGGAGCAAACAGGAUUAGAUACCCUAGUAGUCC
rnacentral:rRNA from 1 species